UACGAAGGGGGCUAGCGUUGUUCGGAAUUACUGGGCGUAAAGGGCGCGUAGGCGGCACUGUUAGUCAGGCGUGAAAGUCCUGGGCUCAACCUGGGAACUGCGCUUGAUACGGCAGAGCUAGAGGAUGGGAGAGGGUCGCGGAAUUCACAGUGUAGAGGUGAAAUUCGUAGAUAUUGGGAAGAACACCGGUGGCGAAGGCGGCGACCUGGUCCAUUACUGACGCUGAGGCGCGACAGCGUGGGGAGCAAACAGG
rnacentral:rRNA from 1 species